GCCGACCGCGUGAACGCGAAACUGGGCGAGGCCGGGCCGCUAUCUGUGUUAAACUCAGUUGGCUCCUUACGUUAUUUCAUUGAGCGAUCAAUCUACGACUCCUAUAGGACAUGGUUGUUACAAUCGCAGUUAGCAUCGUGCACACUGUGGCUUUAAAACGUGGCGUACUUCAAGAUCGUGUUUGCUCAAAUCGCUGAUGGUGAUCGAUAAGAGUGGUGAUCAAUUGAGAUUCGAAUUGAUUUAGUUAAGAAUCAUCCGAACUCCUCAAUGGUUAUCGACCGGCAAAUUAGGCCGACGUCAAGAUGUGUUCGUUGGUAUAACGUUUGCCAACCGUAAAAUCAAAAAAUGCGGCAAGACAAAUCGGUUGAGUGUUCACCAACAGCCUAUUGCAACGUGUCGUAGUGGCGACGUGGAAGAAGGAAAAAAGUCAGCCGUCUAGUAUAUCUGCAACAGUCUUUUCUCACAACAGUCUUAGAGUCAGUAAAAACACGAAGACAGACAGAAAGAUAACACGAAAAAUAAUGAAAGACACUAGGAAAUAAAAAAAUCACCGAAUCCGAUGGACGACGACGGUUGACGCGUUCGUCGAUUUAUUUAAUUGUUGUCACACUUCUUGUUGUUGAUGUUGCCCGUUGUUGUUGACAAAGAACAAUCGGAGAAAAGUAAGGAAACAAGCAGCUGCAGUUAAGGCUCUAAAAGUGUUAUUCGAGAGGCUAGGCCUGCGUAGAACAACAUCAACGUUGGAACAACAACUAGGCCAUACUAAGAAUACGACUACAACUAUUACAAGUGACCCAGACUAUUCCACUGCUCAAAAAACAUUACCUACCGAAAGCUUUCGCGAAUAGACCCGCAUGGUCUUGCUACAAAGGCUAGCUAGCUUGUGGGACUCGCCUUUCUCUGUCCUGGAUUUGGUUCGAAAAUUUCGAAGAGAAGUUGUUCUUGGUUACCGCGUGGUUUUACGUGAGAACGUUUUGUUCGACAGUGUUCCUUUACGAUAGUUAGAUAUAAGAGUAAUAGUGCGCAUACGUAGGAACAAAAAUAUAAGGUACGGUAUAAUCAUUUUAGAGGGAGCAUCGUGUCUACGUGAACAAUUGUCUCAUUUGUUGUGUAUCACCUUUUGUUUUUUAAAAAAGUUUAUUAACUUUAUAUAACCAUAUAUUUCCUUUUUAAAAUUUGGAAUAAAAGAUAGAAAACUGCCUACAAGCACUGUUAUCGUUUAGGAAAGGGGCACCACGUUUAUCCAAUUUAGGGAGUUUCAAACAAAUCGAUGAAAAUAUCGACACAUUGGGGAUUGUACCCCAGUAUGUAAUCAUAAUAACAAGUAUAAUAAAUAACGAUUCCAAAGUGCAGCUGACUAGUUAUAACAAGGGGUAGCUAACUAUGUGGAGCUUCAGUAAUUAAGCGUCACUACUUUGACCACUAUCUGUUUGGCUGCAUGUGCUUCAAAAUGAUUUUAUGAACUGCAACGGCACUUAGCUGCAAGUUGAAGUUACCCUGAUUAACUGCCUUAGUGGGGCUAUUGGCAGCAGGUGAUCCGAACGACUGACGUCCACAAUUGAGGUCGGGCCGAAAACGGCGGAUUAUUGUGAGCCGCGUAGAGAAGCGGUUGGCAGUGGUGCGUCCUUGAUAACUCGAUAGUCCAAUAACUUCAGCUCGAGUGAAGCCAAGUCAAGUGAAGUUGCCGUUAAAGAGCGAUAUUGUAUUUAGUCGCUAUUCAGUGUUCGUUUCGUAGUGCACUUGUCUAAACAGCGCCGCCGUACGGUGGGAGGAUUCGGAUUCAUUUUUUAAAGGAGAAUAGAAGUGCACUCGACUAUGCACGCGCAGUGUCCCUCGCAAUGGAAUGGUCUGGGUGUUCGACCCAAGACGGCUGCAACACUUCGAAAAUCUGUUGAGCAUCGGUGUAACCAUCCAAAUCAUAGGAAACUCCUCGAUGGACCCAAACCAUUGCCAAAACCAAGAAAGCUUCAGUUGUGCGGAUACAUCUCAACACAGACGUUCUCUGAUGUACACGGAUUAUGUGAAUAUCUGUUUAAAGCGGAACGACGCAAAGUUCGAGUCCUGUACGACUAUACGCCACAAAACGACGAUGAACUAGAGCUUGCCCUCGGGGACGUCAUCGAAUUCUUGGAAGAGGUUGAGGAGGGAUGGUGGAAAGGAAUCCUAAAGGGUCGGAUGGGAGUCUUUCCCUCAAAUUUUGUGGGUCCUAUCGAUGGUACCCCUGUCGGGAAGGACGAACCUAAAGGGGCGGAAAAGGAUGAAAAAAGAAAGCAACAAGGGCAACAGCAGCAGCAACAACACCAACAGCAGCAGCAGCAGCAGCAGCAGCAACAGCAACAGCAGCAACAACAACAACAACAGGCUUCACCAAAAACUAUUGCCGCUUCCAACUCCACUGAAACUUCAUCUACCACCACGGCGACGCCUGGAGUAGCAGUCAACAACGGAUUAACGCCAGCAAAUGGCUUGGUAGGCCUGAUAUCGAAGACGCCAUUGUUUGGAGGACGUGACAAAGAACCAGCCGACAAAAUGUCUGCGAAGCAUUCGCCGAAAAAUUCUAAAUUACCUUCGGAUCCAGACGCUCCAAAGUUGCCACCGAAACCGGUCAGGGAACUCGCCAAGGUUCUGUAUUCGUAUGACGCACAGAACGACGAUGAGUUGACGAUUAAAGAGGGCGACACAAUCGCCAUUCUCACGAAGGAAGUCGAAGAUCGGGGCUGGUGGAAGGGUGAGCUCAACGGCCGUGUCGGCGUUUUUCCUGACAACUUCGUACAGCUGAUACGAACUAGUGAUGAUGGCCAUUGCAGUCCGCAACCGUCCGGUGGACAGAACAGGCCUGAACGACCUGAUAAACCUGCCAAAGCUCUAAAGCCUGACCUUCCUAGGGACAAACUCUUGAUGGGCUUUAAUCAGCCAUUACCUCCUCUACCGACGGAGACGAGUGGCUCGACCAGCAGCACAACAACAGUAUCGUCAUCGAAUACCGUGACGCCAGCCGCGGCAGUCAAGGGCGAGCUGCAUGCAGGAGAAAAAGACAACAAACCGGUGUCAGUGGUUAGUCCGUUCGGACCGCACGAUGGACCCGUACCGGGCUUGCUAGGCAAACCUAUAUUGGCCUCGCAGAUUCGCCGGCAAAAUGGGGCCUUCCCCACUCUCCUUGCGGCCCAGGCGGCCGAAAGGGCCAACCUCAGCAGCGGCUCCAGCAGCAGUAAUAACAGCAACCAAAAUGGAAACUCAACCCAUCAUGAAUCGCCCCUGACGUCGGCCACGGUAUCAGGAGCAGCGGGGGCGUCGUCAUCCGCCAGCGGAACGUCCGACGAUGCAAGCGCUCUCGACAGCAUAGAGAGCAGUGAAGCACGGCUCAAACAUCCCACGGCUGAUAGGGCACGACCGCCCGCAAGGAGACCCCCAUCACACAUUGGUUCUCCUCCUGGACACAAGGAAGCAACUUCAGUCAUCGAGGCUAAUGGAGACUCGUUGGGAGGGCCUGCUAGCACGGUGGUUCAUCUCGGACAUCAUAGUGUCAACGGCCACUCAACGAUUAGUGGACUAAAUGGUCACGAAUCGGAUGCCGGUAGCAAAAGGACCUCGAUCAAGGACCUAUCGUCGAAGUUUAUGGACACCAAUGGCAGACCAUCGCAAGUGGUGAACCUUGCUGGUAAGCCCUCUAAUGGGUCAACAACGACGAGUGGGGCUACGAGUAGCACCAGCAGUGCUAGCAGCACCAAUAUCACUACUCAUAGGCUAGCUGGCCUCAGCAGAGAUGACAUAGAUGCCAGGACGGACGAAGACUCUACUGCUCGAAAUUGUUCGACGACUCUGUCGAGCGAGAUAGCGCAGAAGUUGGAAGCGGAAGUCUUGGAGUUGCGCGUCGAGGUAAAAAAACUGCGCGAGACUUGCGUGUCCCGGGACGAGUAUACAAGUAUCGUAAUUCAGAUGAAACAGCUUCAGGAGACAAUGGAGGCGACCAGGGCGCAUUAUUCGAAAAUGGUGCGCGAACUCAUGAACGAGGUGGACGAGGAGAAGAAGCAGAGGAUGAAUCUGCAAGUCGAAAUCGACCGUCUCAAGAAAAUCACUGUAACUGUCUAGCUGCCAGCAGGAAUACGGAUAUCAAACAAAAAUCGAUCAGCCUUAAUAAUCUCGAGUCAUUUUCUCGUAAUCGAGCAGAUGAUGCCUGAUACUGCCUAUUUAUACUAUUGUGUCAAUGACUGCGUGGUUGGGUGAUGACGUUGAUAACAUCUGGGCACGCAUAUACCCUUCUGUCUACCUGUCUACUCUCAGCUUUUCUGACUAUCCUUUAUUUUUUACCUUCAUUGCUCUCUAAUGCCGUAUGGGACGAGGCCCUGCGUUGGUUACCAGCAACCGGAGUCUUCAGGACAAUAAUACAUCAGGAGGCAUUUGAUAUUGAGUUUAUUUGAUUAUUUCCACUUAGGCUGACAUUUGGUGGCCAGAGCCACCAUGCUCUGCAAGAUCAGCCUACAGUAAACUUUGAGGAAUAUAACAAAAACUAAUAUAAGAGACACACAACAACGGAUAUUAGGGAUGCGAAGCCCAAGACGUAUUCUCCAUAGAAUUCGCAGCUUUUAUUUUAAUGUUCGAAUUAACACAUACAUGAACGCGGUGCCGUUCAAGGAGGACCGUGAACGUAAAUUGAGAUUUCGGUUGUAUCGUCGAAGCAGGCCCUUACUAGCACGCACAACGAAGAAAAAAGUAAUCGUACAAAUAACACACAGAUCCUUGAAAUCGAUAAGCAGUCAUUUCAGAAAAACCGCAUUGAUAUAGCCAUCUCGGCAGUCUUCAUCGUGGUCCGAAGGACCUCACAGAGGUUGUUAUUAGCCAGCCAAAAAGGUACGCCUUUCGUGGUCGUCACAACGUCAGUACAGACACCGUUCUUCGCGAAAUCGACCGCUAGCCGAACUUUCACCGAUGAUUCAAGGGUUCACGAGACUGAUACGACAGACGGCGUAAUUCUUCUUCUCUGUUUAUUUCAGUUAAUCAGUGCUCGUUAUAAACAUGUAUGUGUUUUGUAGACGCACUCUUGAAGUCCCUUAGUGUUGUGUGCAUAACUUGUGUUCAGUGUUUUUAGAAAGUUGCCCCCCUGACCCCUCCCAACCACCCACCCACCUAUUAGAUUGACACUCCCUUGAUCCGAAAGUCAGCCGUACGAGAGGUUUGCCCCACAGCCGUGGUGGAAUCAGAUAACGCUUCACACCAUGCAAGAUGUGCACAUGCGCGAGUCGAGUCAAAAAGCGCGGGGACUCCAAAUAUUUCCGAGCGCCAUCAGACAUCAUCAAUUUACUGCUGUUAAUGGCCUCGGUGCUUGAAUUGUUGCGAUAGAGCUGAGCAGGGAAUCUGACCGAUACAAUGAAUACAAAAAAGACAUUGAAAUAAGUUACUUACUUUGCAACGAUCACCUAACAGCAGUAUAUCAAUCUAUUCGGGCAAGCCUUUUAGACCGAAAACGUUAGGCCGAAUAGUUUGUUUGCUCGUUUGACAUUUAUCAUCAUUCAUGCGGUAAUAUAUUCAAGUGACGGAAAUAGCGGAACAAUGUUUAACCUGGGUCAGAGCAGAUCAAGCGAUUUUGAUUGGGGUAACGUAUUUUCUACGUACAAGGGGGUGCAUUCUAGCGGAAAACAUAAGACAAAGGAAAAUGCCUAUAUGUAGUCGCAUACAUGACAGUACUUGAUGCGAUGUCUAGUAAAAAAAAAAAAGGGUACGCGCGAUUUCGUGGGGCGAUAACGAGACUUACUAAGAUUUAUAAUCUAACUUAUAAGUAGCAUUAUGACUACACAUAUAGCCGAAUGACGAUAAUAACAAUGGAUUGUCAAACAUUAGUAGUGACUAACGAUGUAGCGAAUUGAGGAUGGGGAGGUAGCAGCCACUGAACGAUGUCGCUGAAGGGUGGCUCGUACAUCGCAUGAAGUAACGAAUAUAAAGGGUCCUCAACGUGCGCUGCACAGUCGUACCCGUGUCGUUUGGCCUUUCCGCAACAGGAUACAGAAUGAAGAUUCAACGGGACACAUGUUGAAGCGUUGAUGUAUUACUACAGACAUUGUUUUAUCAUCUAAAACGCAGCGAGUUUUUCACAGACGAUUUACUAAAUAAAAGGAUUUCAAAUAGGGAGCAAAAAAAAAAGAUACGAUGAUGA